AGGCCCGUGGUGUAGUGGUCAAGCAUGGGGGCCUUUGGAGCCCCUGACGCCGGUUCGAAUCCGGCCGGGCCUA
rnacentral:tRNA from 1 species